ACCCUCGUGGGCUAACGGUAGCACGCCUGACUUCAGAUCAGAAGGUUGGCGGUUCAAAUCACGCCGGGUC